rnacentral:rRNA from 1 species
GCAAGUCGAGCGAGAAAGCUACUUCGGUAGUGAGUAGAGCGGCGGACGGGUGAGUAACGCGUGGGAAUUUGCCUGGUGCAGGGGGAUAACUUGGGGAAACUCAAGCUAAUACCACAUAAUACCGAAAGGUCAAAGGGGGCCUAUCCUUGGAAGCUCCCGGCACCAGAUGAGCCCGCGUUGGAUUAGCUAGUUGGUAGGGUAAAGGCCUACCAAGGCAACGAUCCGUAGCUGGACUGAGAGGUCGAAC